rnacentral:lncRNA from 1 species
ACCUCUCUUUCAUUUCUUUAAUUGUCCUUUUAACAAUAUGGGGAAUUUCACCCAAGGAAAGGGUCCUCUUCUCGCCCCAGCAGGCAAGGGGUGUUCCUCCAGCGCAAGUUCCGGCCCCAGCUGCCCCCACGUCCCACAGGUCUCCUGCCUUUUGGCACGCACACUCCUGACCACUCGCUGCUUCCGCAUCCCUACUCUGAUCCUCUCCCCAUGCAUCUCUGCCUCCUUAGACAACUGAGAAUUUUAUUGUCUGUUUCCUUUGCCAGACUGUAAGUUCCACGAGGGCAGGGCCUCGUCCAUUUCAUUUACCACUACAUCCCCAGUAUAGAGCAAGAGCCCAUGAAAAUGUUUGUUGGAGAAAUGAAUGCAUGAUGGUGUCGCUGGACAGCUAUACGCAAGCGCAGCCUCCGUUUCCUCCGGCGCGCCUGCGCUCG